GAUGAACGCUAGCGACAGGCUUAACACAUGCAAGUCGAGGGGCAGCGGGAGUGAAGCUUGCUUUACUCGCCGGCGACCGGCGCACUGGUGAGUAACGCGUAUGCGACCUGCCCGCGGCCGGGGGAUAAUCCAUAGAAAUGUGGUCUAAUACCCCAUAUGCCGGUUCUCUGCAUGGAGGACCGGUGAAAGGAGAGAUCCGGGCGCGGAUGGGCAUGCGUCUGAUUAGCUGGUUGGCGGGCAACGGCCCACCAAGGCUACGAUCAGUAGGGGUUCUGAGAGGAAGGUCCCCCACAUUGGUACUGAGACACGGACCAAACUCCUACGGGAGGCAGCAG
rnacentral:rRNA from 1 species